UCCCUACGGGACGCAGCAGUAGGGAAUUUUCGUCAAUGGGCGCAAGCCUGAACGAGCAAUGCCGCGUGAACGAGGAAGGUCUUCGGAUCGUAAAGUUCUGUUGAAGGGGAAAAAGAGCGGAGAGAGGAAAUGGUCUCCGAUUGAUAUUACCCUUCGAGGAAGUCACGGCUAACUACGUGCCAGCAGCCGCGGUAAUACGUAGGUGGCGAGCGUUAUCCGGAUUUAUUGGGUUUAAAGGGUGCGUAGGCGGAACAUUAAGUCAGCGGUAAAAUCGAGGGGCUCAACCCCUUUAAGCCGUUGAAACU
rnacentral:rRNA from 1 species